rnacentral:lncRNA from 1 species
AAAAAGUAGUUUUUAGAAAUGUAAUCAGGAUAGUAAGAGUUACACUGCUGUAAAGCAUUUAGGAGCUCCUUGCAGGUCUAAGUGUUUUCCAAAUAAAAUGUUAGAGGAAGCUCAGUAGAUGUUGGUUAAAACUAGAUUAAAUUGAAUGAUAAAUUGAAAAAGAGUUAGAUUUGAAAAAGAAAAAAAUACGUCUGUUAACCAUUAAGUAAAUGGUAAAAUUUGAAAAUUAUACCUUCAUAUACAGAUUGGAAAUGCAAAAAUUAUACUUGGGAACCUUAAGAAAAAUUUCAGGGGGAAGUAGGAUUUCAUUGAGGUUUUUUAAAUUAAGAAAUCACCAGCUAAGAAAAUUAAGGAGAAAUUGCUCAAAAAUACCCACAGGCAAAAUACCCAAAGGCAAAAUAUAGCAAAGUUAAUGGCAAGAAGCUUGAUUUACAAAUUUGAGUGAUAGUCCUAAAGAUCAGUGAUUGAUAUAAAGAAAGGAUAUGUAAAUUAUUUCU